rnacentral:lncRNA from 1 species
CAGAAAAUGAAAUUCAACAUUUGGGAUACGAAACAUAGUAAAUGUCUGUGCUUGAAGAGACUGAGAGAGUCUUGUGGGAGCAGUUGAUGGCUUUCAAGAACAUGCCAAUUAAAGAUCAGCACUAAUGUGUCCCAAGGCUGGCCCA